rnacentral:lncRNA from 1 species
UUUCUUUCUCCUACUCAAGAGGUAAGGUAUCUCCUCCACGUGCUCUCUCCUCUCCUUUCUUCUCUUCCCAUCUAUAGAUCCGAUGCUCAUCGAACAUCAUGACAGGAGAACGAAUACCGGCCACCUGCACAAUGAAUCAAUUGCACACGUUAGCGGACGCCACGUGACAUGUCGAGAGGAGUGGAGCAGUGCGCACAAUCAGCACCAACUACACCAUCAACACACACAUCAGCAAUCUGACUUGGUGACACCACAAUGUUUGGAGGUGCUGGCAAUACCCCUAAGCUCCUCCAUUGAGUAUCGCU